GGGGGAGUGUGUUUGGAAGGAAGAGUGUGUUUGGGGGAGUGUGUUUGGAAGGAAGAGUGUGUUUGGGAGGAGUGUGUUUGGAAGGAAGAGUGUGUUUGGGGGAAGUGUGUUUGGGAGGAAGAGUGUGUUUGGGAGGAAGAGUGUGUUUGGGGGAGUGUGUUUGGGAGGAAGAGUGUGUUUGGGAGGAGUGUGUUUGGGAGGAAGAGUGUGUUUGGGGGAGAGUGUUUGGGAGGAAGAGUGUGUUUGGGAGGAGUGUGUUUGGGAGGGGGGAGAGUGUGUUUGGGAGGAGUGUGUUUGGGAGGAAGAGUGUGUUUGGGAGGGGGAGAGUGUGUUUGGGAGGAGUGUGUUUGGGAGGAAGGGUGUGUUUGGGGGGGGGGAGAGUGUGUUUGGGAGGAGUGUGUUUGGGAGGAAGAGUGUGUUUGGGAGGGGGAGAGUGUGUUUGGGAG
ensembl:lncRNA